GACGAACGCUGGCGGCGUGCUUAACACAUGCAAGUCGAACGGAAAGGCCCUGCUUUUGUGGGGUGCUCGAGUGGCGAACGGGUGAGUAACACGUGAGUAACCUGCCCUUGACUUUGGGAUAACUUCAGGAAACUGGGGCUAAUACCGGAUAGGAGCUCCUGCUGCAUGGUGGGGGUUGGAAAGUUUCGGCUGGGGAUGGACUCGCGGCUUAUCAGCUUGUUGGUGGGGUAGUGGCUUACCAAGGCUUUGACGGGUAGCCGGCCUGAGAGGGUGACCGGCCACAUUGGGACUGAGAUACGGCCCAGACUCCUACGGGAGGCAGCAGUGGGGAAUAUUGCACAAUGGGCGGAAGCCUGAUGCAGCAACGCCGCGUGCGGGAUGACGGCCUUCGGGUUGUAAACCGCUUUCGCCUGUGACGAAGCGUGAGUGACGGUAAUGGGUAAAGAAGCACCGGCUAACUACGUG
rnacentral:rRNA from 1 species